UACGUAGGGGGCAAGCGUUGUUCGGAAUUACUGGGCGUAAAGGGCGCGCAGGCGGCUCGCUAAGUCAGAUGUGAAAGCCCCGGGCUCAACCUGGGAAUAGCAUUUGGGACUGGUGAGCUAGAGUUCGGGAGAGGAGAGUGGAAUUCCCAGUGUAGAGGUGAAAUUCGUAGAUAUUGGGAAGAACACCGGUGGCGAAGGCGGCUCUCUGGACCGAUACUGACGCUGAGGCGCGAAAGCGUGGGGAGCAAACAGG
rnacentral:rRNA from 1 species